rnacentral:rRNA from 1 species
AUUGAACGCUGGCGGCAGGCCUAACACAUGCAAGUCGAGCGGAGCGGCGGACGGGCGCGUAAUGCCUAGGAAUCUGCCUGGCAGUGGGGGAUAACGUCCGGAAACGGGCGCUCAUACCGCAUACUAUCUGUUGAGCCUAGGCCGGAUUAGCUAGUUGGUGGGGUAAAGGCCGACCAAGGUGACGAUCCGUAACUGGUCUGAGAGGAUGAUCAGUCACACUGGGACUGUGACACGGUCCAGACUCCUACGGGAGGCAGCAGUGGGGAAUAGUAGACAAUGGGCGAAAGCCUGAACCAGCCAUGCCGCGUGUGUGAAGAAGGUCUUCGGAUUGUAAAGCACUUUAAGUUGGGAGGCGUUACCAACAGAAUAAGCACCGGCUAACUUCGUGCCAGCCGCCGCGGUAAUUC